AUUGAACGCUGGCGGCAGGCCUAACACAUGCAAGUCGAGCGCGAAAGUUCUUCGGAAUGAGUAAAGCGGCGGACGGGUGAGUAAUACAUGGGAAUCUGCCUGGUAGUGGGGGACAACGUUUCGAAAGGAACGCUAAUACCGCAUACGCCCUACGGGGGAAAGGGGGGGAUCUUCGGACCUCUCGCUAGUCAGAUGAGCCC
rnacentral:rRNA from 1 species